rnacentral:rRNA from 1 species
UGCCACAACCAUAUCACCCUGCAGCCCAAGACCGGUUACUCGCUGAAGCUAAGCAGGGCUGAGCCUGGUCAGUACCUGGAUGGGAGACAUCUAGGGAACACUAGGUUGCUGUUGGAA